UUUUUGUACAAUCUACAUGCAGCUGCAUUACAUGUUAAUGAGCAUGUGGGGUGAAGGAAAAGAUCUAAAAUUGGUGGACGCCCCUGUUUCUGGUCAUGUUAAAAGAGCUGCUGAGGGAAGUCGAUGACUUCUUAUAUGGAUGUGGACAGGUUUUAAAGAGUUAUGGACUUAUUAAUGUGCAAGAAGAAGAAUCUUAUUGUCAUUAAGGUUUUCCCUACCUGAUGUUCAUGUGCUACGAAGCAUGCAAGAGGAUUAUGGUUGAGGAUGAUGAAGAGGCAUAACCACAUAUUUGACAAGAAGAAAUGCGAGGUCUUUUGCUAUGGGUCAUCUAUAGAAAGAGUGGAUAAAGAUCACUAUUUUGCAUACUACGAUUUUUUUAUUUUGGUCAGAUGUAUACUGUGAUUGAAUGGUUUAGUUUAUGUUUUUUUCUUUUGCUCAUACGAUUUCUUCAAAAGAAUUCUUCAAGGAAGUUCUUGUUACCAAGGUUGGUUCUACAUGCACUCGCAAAGAUAUUUGAGGGGUUUACUUUUCUUUUG